GUGGGGAAUAUUGCGCAAUGGGGGAAACCCUGACGCAGCAACGCCGCGUGGGUGACGAAGGUCUUCGGAUUGUAAAACCCUGUCUUCUGGGACGAUAAUGACGGUACCAGAGGAGGAAGCCACGGCUAACUACGUGCCAGCAGCCGCGGUAAUACGUAGGUGGCGAGCGUUGUCCGGAAUUACUGGGCGUAAAGGGUGCGUAGGCGGAUAUUUAAGUGGGAUGUGAAAUACCUGAGCUUAACUCGGGUGCUGCAUUCCAAACUGGAUAUCUAGAGUGCAGGAGAGGAGAAUGGAAUUCCUAGUGUAGCGGUGAAAUGCGUAGAGAUUAGGAAGAACACCAGUGGCGAAGGCGAUUCUCUGGACUGUAACUGACGCUGAGGCACGAAAGCGUGGGUAGCAAACAGG
rnacentral:rRNA from 1 species